GAUCUGGUUGUAGUGUAUGUCAACGAUCAAGUUGUUCACUUUCAGCAGACUGAUGUCUCAAUCAGUGAUACACAACUGACAAUAGUGUCUAAGUGUCGUGAAAAUUUCGCUCAUAAUUGUAAACAACAGCUGUUAGACUUGGGGACUGGAACGCUAGUAAAAUCUGGGAAAGAAAUAAUUGUCUACAAUACAAACAUUAAAGGCAGAUCAAACUUUAAACUGACAUACUUUGUCUGUAAUAUUGAAAGAAACAUUUCAUUUUCAAUUACUACAAAUAAAACAAACGACAAUUUGCAUUUGACAACAGAAGAUAAUCCAGAAGUGACUAUAUCAUUAUCGGCCUUUAUCGUGACAUUAGUAAUAGUGAUUUGUUUUUUGGUCUUUGUAAGGUAAUAUUCUUAUUUAUUUUCAAAUUAAUAUAUGAGUUUGUUGGGUUUUUUUUCUACGGGUAAUAUUAAAAUAUUAACAUAUAUGUAAUUGAAUUAAAUCUGAUUUAUCUUAACUAUUCACUGGUCUUUAGAGAUUUUCAAUAAAAGUAUUUGGUGUAUUCGCUGUACAAAGCAAAGAAAUAGUGAUGACUAUGUAUUUAGGUAAACGUUUAGGUUUGAAGGAUCUUGAAAAUACCAUUGAAAGAAAGAGUGAGCAAUACUGAGAUCCUCGCGAGGCAGAGAAUGAGCUUUUUUUUUUUUUUCAGAGUUGGGAGAAUUUUUCCAUCCAUCUGUGCAUUUGUUUGCUAUUAUCUGUGAUGUACUUGGUGGUUUUAGCUUCUUUCAGAGUUAGUGGACUUUGCAUUGUAUGCAGGGAUAACAUCUCUAUUUGCUUUGAUGACAGGUUUUAGUAUACCUAAUUUUAGAAGUGUACCAAAGGUCGUUUUUUUAUUUUUUUUUCCGUAGAUUUUUAGGGAAUUCUUUUAUAUGGCGUUCCCAUUUCUUUAUAGCUCUAUUUCCAGGAGUUUUUUUUUAUUUCGCGUUAAAAAGCUUAUGGAAGCUGGAGAUUUAGAUUGCACAUCUAACUUACAUCAGAUGGAAGUCUUCUAUAAUCUAGCCGAAGACGUAAUAUGUUUCAGAUUGUAUACUCCUCAAGUGAAAUUAAAAUUAAAUUAAAUAAUUUUUAAUCAUACUUAUUAAAAUGUGUACGUUCCAACUAGAGUCUUCCCAGAAUUGCCCGAAAUAAACAAUACCAAACCAGAUUUUUAGGCAUUAGAUUUUUAAGACUAUUUUCUAUUCCUGUUUUUGAAGUCUAUAAAAUUUUUAUGAAAGACGCGAGGACACUAAAAAUCGUAAGUAUCUUUACGCGGCUCUUUAAAGUUAUACAGGAACAUAAUUAAAAAGCAAUUAAGAUUAAUAAUAAGUAUAAAUAAACAUAUUUGUUUGUGAUAUAAUUUUUUAAAAUUUAAUAUAUUAAUUUUAUUUUUAAUUUACAGCUUGGUUUUUGCUUUUAUAAAGAUCUCGUCCAAGAUG